GAUGAACGCUGGCGGCGUGCCUAAUACAUGCAAGUCGAGCGAACGGACGAGAAGCGUGCUUCUCUGAUGUUAGCGGCGGACGGGUGAGUAACACGUAGGUAACCUACCUAUAAGACUGGGAUAACUUCGGGAAACCUUAGCUAAUACCGGAUAAUAUUUUGAACCGCAUGGUUCAAAAGUGAAAGACGGUCUUGCUGUCACUUAUAGAUGGAUCCGCGCUGCAUUAGCUAGUUGGUAAGGUAAAGGCUUACCAAGGCAACGAUGCAUAGCCGACCUGAGAGGAUGAUCGGCCACACUGGAACUGAGACACGGCCCAGACUCCUACGGGAGGCAGCAGUAGGGAAUCUUCCGCAAUGGGCGAAAGCCUGACGGAGCAACGCCGCGUGAGUGAUGAAGGUCUUCGGAUUGUAAAACUCUGUUAGCAGGGACGAACAUAUGUGUAAGUAAAUCUCCAUACCUUGACGGUACCUACAGAGAAAGCCACGGCUAACUACGUG
rnacentral:rRNA from 1 species